GACGAACGCUGGCGGCGUGCCUAACACAUGCAAGUCGUACGGGCCUGGGGGCAACUCCAGGUCAGUGGCGAACGGGUGCGUAACUCGUGAGCAACUCGUCUUUCGGUGGGGGAUAGCCGGCCUAACGGCCGGGUAAUACCGCGUACGCCACCGGGGUCGCAUGGCCCUGGUGGGAGAGCGGCCGCAAGGUCGCGCCGAAAGAGGGGCUCGCGCCCUAUCAGCUUGUUGGCGGGGUAACGGCCCACCAAGGCGAUGACGGGUAGCUGGUCUGAGAGGACGAUCAGCCACAUUGGGACUGAGACACGGCCCAGACUCCUACGGGAGGCAGCAGUGGGGAAUAUUGCGCAAUGGCCGCAAGGCUGACGCAGCGACGCCGCGUGU
rnacentral:rRNA from 1 species